rnacentral:rRNA from 1 species
UGUGGUUUAAUUCGAUGAUACGCGAGAACCGUUACCUGGGCUCGAACGUAAGAUGACUGUAGGUGAAAGCUUACAUCUCUUCGGAGCAUUUUACGAGGUGCUGCAUGGUUGUCGUCAGCUCGUGCCGUGAGGUGUCGGGUUAAGUCCCAUAACGAGCGCAACCCUACCUUUAGUUGCCAUCAGGUAAUGCUGGGGACUCUAAAGGAACUGCCUACGCAAGUAGUGAGGAAGGCGGGGAUGACGUCAAAUCAGCACGGCCCUUACGUCCAGGGCUACACACGUGCUACAAUGGCCGAUACAGAGGGCAGCUACCUGGUGACAGGAUGCAAAUCUCCAAAGUCGGUCUCAGUUCGGAUCGGAGUCUGCAACCCGACUCCGUGAAGUUGGAUUCGCUAGUAAUCGCGCAUCAGCCAUGGCGCGGUGAAUACGUUCCCGGGCCUU